GGGCGUAUCAGAUGCUGGCAGAGAGCAGCAGGUGCUACUCUAGGCUUUCUUCGAACCCUCUCUCCUUUCGCUCAGGCCAGUUCAUUAGCUGCCAACAGGAUGCAGCCUCCUCUCCCCGCUGUGGCCACCUGACACCGCUUUGGGCUUUGUUCCUGCACCACUGGAACUCUGUGGCAAAAUCAGAUCCAACUUCAGGCUCCUGACCUGGAAAAUGAUACGAUACCACAACGCUGUGUCACCUUCCUCCAGACACAGAGUUCAUCAUGCUGGGAUCAUGUGUUAGGAAGUUCCCAUCCACCCACAUCAUCGCUUUUUGAGGAAACAGGACUUCUGUCUGGAUUAUUCCAUCUUCAUAUUGUCCUCUUUCAUUGCCUUGCCAUUACCUAGGACACAUCUGAAGUAACCAAGGCAUACGGGGCUGAAAUUAAAGCUCAAGUCAUAUGGUUAGUAAAUGGUGAGACUGGGAUACCAUUUAUUGCACACUACUGCUUGGCCAGCUGCUGUGUGCCAGGCACUGUCCAGGCCCUGGGAAAUAGCAGUGUGCACACCCUGGAAAGUUUCAUCCUCUGUCUGAUUCCAUAAGCAGCUCUGUCUUGUGGAUGGAAGGCAAUGAUGUCUCAUUCCAAAGGGAGGGGAGGCUGGUCCCUGAAGGCAGAUGGGUGAAGCCAGAGGCUUCCUGUGGGAUGUGGAGUGAGCCUAGAGAACAGAUGGAAGGACGGGGGAAUGGCGCAGCGGAGGG